CCCCCCCCACGCCCGGGAACUACGAGCAAAGCUUAAAACUCAAAGGACUUGACGGUACCCCACAUCCACCUAGAGGAGCCUGUCCUUUAAUCGAUAAUCCCCGCUUAACCUCACCAUUUUUAGUUAAUUCAGCCUGUAUACCUCCGUCGUCAGCUUACCACGUGAGCGUAAUUUAGUAAGCUUAAUGUCUUCAUAUAUCAACACGUCAGGUCAAGGUGCAGCAAAUAAAAUGCGGAAGAGAUGGGCUACACUUUCUAAUUUAGAAAACACGAAAAACUAUCUAUGAAACCUAGUUAGAAGGCGGAUUUAGCAGUAAAAAGAAACUAGAGAGUUCUUUUUAAUUAGGCACUGGGGUGUGUACACACCGCCCGUCACCCUCUUCAAAGCCCCCUAUUAGUAAAUAACAAAUUCACGCACUUAAGAAGAGGUAAGUCGUAUCAAGGUAAGUAUACCGGAAGGUGUGC
rnacentral:rRNA from 1 species